ACGGUCAGAUCACAUUGAAACACCGGUUCUUGUCCGAUAACCGAAGUUAAGCAACGUCGAGCCUGGUCAAUAUCUAGAUGGGUGACUGCUUGGGAAAACCAAGUGCUGUAAG